AUUUUCUCACUGAAGUGUCACAGGAGACAUUGCCAGAAGAGUUUAUUGAGUUGGUGUAAACCACAGGUUUUUUCCUGCCAUCCUCUGCAGCAUCCAGCCCAGCUGACUGGAGCCUUUGGGUACCACUUCCUCCAGCAGUCAUCAUGAUCUUCAAGGCAGUGCUGGUGCCAGUACAUGAGAACAAAUGCUCUGCCUCUGAUGUUUCUAAUAAUGUUCAAUGCCAUAUCAGGUAUCUCUGGGAGGAUGUGCAAAGGAACAGAGAGUUUUGAGCUGUAUUUCAGGUAGGAAGUGUGUUGGUGAACUAAGGUUUGUGCAGCUCUGCUUCUUCACAAAGACCCUGAGGUGUGCAUAGAGUUCUGCUGGUGAAAACCUAGGAGGAAAACUGAGAGCUUGGUCAUGCAGGUGUCUCUAAGGCAGCAGGAAUGCUGUCCACCAUCCAGCCCCACUGGGUAGCAGCAGCACUAGGUAUCUUCUGCUGUGGAGCAGCAGGUGACUUGUAGGGCUUGAUCCCUCCUGAUAUAUCACAGCAGCCUCUCCACCUGUCUCAAAGUGCUCCCUCUGGAUUACUGGCCUAGGAUCAUCAUCUUUAGGCUGAGUCUCUGUGUGUGAGGAGGUCUGGGGGGCUGGCUGCAGGAAGGGGGAGCUGAAGGCUGAGACUUUGAAGUGAAGGGCUGGUGAGGCCAGUGCAGAGAGCUGAGUCCAUCUGGAGUGGUGGGGAGACCACAAACAGGUCUUCAAGGACAGGGCAGCCCUUCCCUACCUCUGCAAUCCUGAAGAAGCACUUGAAGUUAUGACAUUUGGGCCAAGAAGGGAGCUGCCCAAAAGCAUCACUGCUCCCUGAGCACAGCAGGAAUCCUGUCCUGCGUUAGGGGAGUCCAGGGGGCAGCUGGAUGAAGGAAUCUUGUUGCUGAGUGCAGAGGUGCAAGGCAAAAAGGCCAUUGUACUUCUGAACCAAAGUGGCAAAAGCAAAACCAUGAUAAUGCAUGGAGCUGAAACGCUCAGAGGAGGGAGAAAGUCUGUAACUCAACCUGACAAGAGGAACAGUUUCACCUCCCUGUGCUCACAGCACUCAGCAUCGCCACAGAAAGCAGCCAAGCCAAAGACAACUGAGGGCAUGGUGAGGGUUGCUUCACCUAUUGCUCUGCUCCACAGGGUCCUUUCUGCUGCAAGCAGCCUCUAGAAACCACAGAGAGGUGCAGAAACAGAAAAUAUGGAAGUAUUGUGACAGACCAUGGCCCUGUUCCUGGUGGGUGGCUGCUCUGCAUUUAUAGAGGGGGGCAGACCAGGCCUAAGUGGUCCCUGUUGGCUUCAAAGUUUAUGGCUUUCUGAACGCCUCACAGCAUGCUCUGCAGGGCCUGUCUCUACUCGAUAACGUGGCUGCAUGAAAGAGCCAUAAAUCAAACCUGAAAUCUGGCAGCUUUAAUAAUAAAUCCCAAACUUGUGCCAGGUCUGUGAACUUUUCAGCACAACCGAGGUGCUCACAGAGUGAACCUGAGAAGUCUGAUAGUUGCAGGAGGAAAACAGGCAGAACUUGUCGGUUUUGACCCCAAAUCAAGGAAAAUGUUGUGGUUUUGGCUAAGUGGGGUUUUGUGGGUUUUGUUAACCUGAGGCUCAAAGCAAAUGUGUGUUUGUGAGAAGGAGGGAGGGAAACAGCAUGAUUUUAAGUGGGAAUGCUUUUUUGUUGUGUUUCUCACUGCUCUCUCUUGGAAGAGGGUAAUGCAAGGAAGUGAUGGUUUAUCUCUGCAUCAAGAGAGUAAAUAAUGCUAUGGAAAGCC